CUUGCUUGUCGAUCCCAGGAUCCAACUCUGUUCUGUCUGUGGUUGAACAACCCCAGGCAUUGGGGAGUCCAAUACAAUCCAAGUACUGCAACUUUGAUCCAUCCCAGAUUCCUGAAGAGGAGGCAGUUUUCCAGGCUUCCCCACAGAAAAUGGGUCAGCUCAUGACGGGAGCCAGAGCUCCCAGGCUGGCUUUCUUAGCUUCUGUGCCCGUGGGGUGCCUUGUGAAGGCUGCUUCUCACUGACAUCCUGCUGCAGCACUAGUUUCCUCCCCACCCCCAGCAACAAAAAACAAAGUAGGACAUAGAACAUGAGGACCUAAACUCCUAUGGGAAAAGUGGCUGAGAAUGGGGAAUGGUAUGUAAGUUCCUUGCUGACCCAAGAACUUCAACAGUCCACCUGUGAUUACAAGCUGAGCAGUAAUGUGAGUUGGAGAAACGGGCACUUCUCUUACAGUCCCACAUUGGAAGUGGCAGAGCUCCCUCAAGCAGAAGACCCUGAACAUCAGAUGAAGACUCCAGGGACAAAAAGAAGGAUGGAGGGGCCUGUCCUCGUCCUACUGACCAGGCCAUCAGACAGCAGGGUCAUGACCAAGGCUGUAGAACUCCAUCUUGCCCUGACCAAGCUAGUGGAAAGGAGGGUCACAACCAGAGCCGUAGGACGCACUCCAUCAUACUCUCUCCCCUCACAGUCCAUUGGACCAUUGGAAAAUUCAAGUCACAUCUCUAAAAAGGUUCCGUGAAGAUGCAGGACAGCUUUGAAGGCCCUCAAGUUCCUUCAUGCAAAGGUGCUUCGAGUGUUCUAUUCUUCCUUUGCGUUGAGCCUCUGGACUUGGUUCUGGACUCCUGGCACCUGCUCUGUGUGACUGAGACAAGUCACCGUCUUCUGCGGCCAUCACGAAUAAGACUCCCCAUAGUUUUCUCUGACUCUCUGCUAUGAUGAUUUGUUUCCUCCUGCCACACAGGAUCCAUUCUUCAUGGCUUUAGAUGGCAUAGAAUGUUCUGGCAACAUUAACUAUCAAAACAAUUUACAUAAUAAGAGUACUGUAUACACUUCCCUGAGCACUUUCCGUACAUUUUCUAA